rnacentral:ncRNA from 16 species
AAAGGGUCAUACGACUGGCGGUAUUAUAUGGAAUUAACCAUAGGGGAGUAUGACCGAUACUGGAAUAGCCGACCGCCUGGGCAGAUAGA